rfam:Asian citrus Psyllid, Diaphorina citri - Florida Strain, whole genome shotgun sequence.
UUAUUAUGCUAUAGCACAUUGAAUCCACCAGUUCCCUAUGGACCACUGAAGUUAAGCAAACUUGCGCCUUGUUGGUAUCUGAACGGGUGACCGUUUGGUCAAGGACGAGGGAAAUACUAUG